rnacentral:rRNA from 1 species
AUGUUAACCACCGUAUCGCGAAGAAAUCCUCUGUCCACUUUUCUUGCUGUUUUCUGUCAGAUCCCAUCUACCAUGGCCUCUUCAAGUUCCUCCAAGGACAAGUUCUUCAAGAACGUCAUCAACCCAUAUCCGCGGGAGGUGGUGCAACACCCUCAAACCAUCCAGAUGCAUGAGGGGGUGCUGUACAUCCGCGAUGAGCAAGGUCCCAAGGGCACGAGAACCGUGGAGGCCAGGCUUGAAGCCAUGGAGCAGGAAGUCUUUCGGUGCAAGGGGAUGGUGGAGCGUGGGAUCAAUGCCAAUCACCUCAUGAUCACGGACCUUUCUUGUGAUCUCAAGGUGGAUGGCAAGCCCAUGAAGGACAUCAUCUUCACCCUCAAUGAGCAAAUCAACUUUCUCCAAAGCCAGAUCUAUGAUCUUCAAAACCAAGUCUUUGAAUAUGAAGCGAGGUUUAAAGGUAUGAGUUUGGCUGCUAGUUGCAAGACCCGUGAGACUCACUCCUCCUCUUAUGAUGGUGGAUCACUGCCAUGGAAAUCCGAGGACAAGAUCUCUUCUUCAUCACCACCACCAUCUUCUUCAUCACCAAAGGAGAACUGA